rnacentral:rRNA from 1 species
CUAAGGCUGAGACACGACGUCGAGCUGCUACGGCAGUGAAGUCAUUGAUGCCAUGCUUCCAGGAAAAGCCUCUAAGCUUCAGAUAGUCAGGAAUCGUACCCCAAACCGACACAGGUGGUCGGGUAGAGAAUACCAAGGCGCUUGAGAGAACUCGGGUGAAGGAACUAGGCAAAAUGGUACCGUAACUUCGGGAGAAGGUACGCUCUUGAUGGUGAAGUCCCUCGCGGAUGGAGCUGACGAGAGUCGCAGAUACCAGGUGGCUGCAACUGUUUAUUAAAAACACAGCACUGUGCAAAAUCGCAAGAUGACGUAUACGGUGUGACGCCUGCCCGGUGCCGGAAGGUUAAUUGAUGGGGUUAGCGCAAGCGAAGCUCUUGAUCGAAGCCCCGGUAAACGGCGGCCGUAACUAUAACGGUCCUAAGGUAGCGAAAUUCCUUGUCGGGUAAGUUCCGACCUGCACGAAUGGCGUAAUGAUGGCCACGCUGUCUCCACCCGAGACUCAGUGAAAUUGAAAUCGCUGUGAAGAUGCAGUGUACCCGCGGCUAGACGGAAAGACCCCGUGAACCUUUACUACAGCUUGGCACUGAACAUUGAACCUACAUGUGUAGGAUAGGUGGGAGGCUAUGAAGACGUGACGCCAGUUGCGUUGGAGCCGUCCUUGAAAUACCACCCUUGUAUGUUUGAUGUUCUAACUUAGACCCAUUAUCUGGGUUGAGGACAGUGCCUGGUGGGUAGUUUGACUGGGGCGGUCUCCUCCCAAAGAGUAACGGAGGAGCACGAAGGUGGGCUAAUCACGGUUGGACAUCGUGAGGUUAGUGCAAUGGCAUAAGCCCGCUUAACUGCGAGAAUGACGGUUCGAGCAGGUGCGAAAGCAGGUCAUAGUGAUCCGGUGGUUCUGUAUGGAAGGGCCAUCGCUCAACGGAUAAAAGGUACUCCGGGGAUAACAGGCUGAUACCGCCCAAGAGUUCAUAUCGACGGCGGUGUUUGGCACCUCGAUGUCGGCUCAUCACAUCCUGGGGCUGAAGUCGGUCCCAAGGGUAUGGCUGUUCGCCAUUUAAAGUGGUACGCGAGCUGGGUUUAGAACGUCGUGAGACAGUUCGGUCCCUAUCUGCCGUGGGCGUUGGAAGAUUGAAGGGGGCUGCUCCUAGUACGAGAGGACCGGAGUGGACGAACCUCUGGUGUUCGGGUUGUGUCGCCAGACGCAUUGCCCGGUAGCUAAGUUCGGAAUUGAUAAGCGCUGAAAGCAUCUAAGCGCGAAGCGAGCCCUGAGAUGAGUCUUCCCUGAUACUUUAAGUAUCCUAAAGGGUUGUUCGAGACUAGAACGUUGAUAGGCAGGGUGUGUAAGCGUUGUGAGGCGUUGAGCUAACCUGUACUAAUUGCCCGUGAGGCUUAACCAUAC